GUCUUAUUGAUUAUAAUUUUAAGUCUAAUCUGCCCUAUGAUUAAUUAAAUGGCUGCAGUAUUUUAACUGUACAAAGGUAGCAUAAUAAUUAGUUUCUUAAUUAGGAACUGGAAUGAAUGAUUGGACGAGAUAAUAACUGUCUUAAUUUAAAUUUUAGAAUUUUAUUUUUAAGUUAAAAAGCUUAAAUUUUUUUAAAAGACGAGAAGACCCUAUAGAAUUUUAUAUUAAUUAAUUAUUUUAUUUUUAGUUAUUUGAUUUAGAAUUUAUUAAUGGGAUAUUUGGUUGGGGUGAUUGAAAAAUUUAAUUAACUUUUUUUUUAUUUUUACAUUAAUUUAUGAUUAAAUGAUCCAGAUUUUCUGAUUAUAAGAUUAAAUUACCUUAGGGAUAACAGCGUAAUUUUUUUAGAGAGUUCUAAUCGAUAAAAGAGAUUGCGACCUCGAUGUUGGAUUAAAGUUAAUUUUUAAUGUAGGAGUUAAAAUAUUAGGUCUGUUCGACCUUUGAAACUUUACAUGAUCUGAGUUUAAACCGGUGUGAGCCAGGUUGGAUUCUAUCUUUAAUAAGAUUAAAUAUUUUAGUACGAAAGGACCAAUUAUUUGUUAUAUUAAUUAAAUUUGAAUAUUAAUAUUAUUUUGGCAGAUUAGUGUUUUAAAUUUAGAAUUUAAGGAUGUGAUUUAUUUCACAGAUAAUAC
rnacentral:misc_RNA from 1 species